ensembl:rRNA 5S_rRNA 5S ribosomal RNA
GUCUAAGGCCAUACCAUCCUGAACGUGCCUGAUCACAUCUGAUCUCGGAAGCUAAGCAGGGUUGGGCCUGGUUAGUACUUGGAUGGGAGACAAAUACAAUUCCUAAUCCCAGAGAAUUUAUAGUUCAGUGGAAC